UACGAAGGGGGCUAGCGUUGCUCGGAAUCACUGGGCGUAAAGGGUGCGUAGGCGGGUCUUUAAGUCAGACGUGAAAUCCCCCGGCUUAACCUGGGAACUGCGUCUGAUACUGGGGGGCUUGAGUAUGGGAGAGGGAUGUAGAAUUCCAGGUGUAGCGGUGAAAUGCGUAGAUAUCUGGAGGAACACCGGUGGCGAAGGCGGCGUCCUGGACCAACACUGACACUGAUGAGCGAAAGCCAGGGGAGCAAACGGG
rnacentral:rRNA from 1 species